AGCUCCAAUAGCGUAUAUUAAAGUUGUUGCAGUUAAAAAGCUCGUAGUUGAAUUUCUGUCAUAUGCAAGCUGGCGUGCUUCGGUACAGCUGGUUGGCAUUGACAUUUUUCGGGUUACGCAAGCUACUUAAUUGUGUUUGUGGUAUCCUGGACUUUUACUUUGAGAAAAUUAGAGUGUUUCAAGCAGGCAUUUGCCUUGAAUACUACAGCAUGGAAUAAUAAGAUAGAACUUUGGUUCUUUCUUGUUGGUUCGGAGAACUAAAGUAAUGAUUAACAGGGACAGUCGGGGGCAUUCGUAUUUAACUGUCAGAGGUGAAAUUCUUAGAUUUGUUAAAGACGAACUACUGCGAAAGCAUUUGCCAAGGAUGUUCCCA
rnacentral:rRNA from 1 species